UACGGAGGGAGCUAGCGUUGUUCGGAAUUACUGGGCGUAAAGCGCACGUAGGCGGCUUUGUAAGUUAGAGGUGAAAGCCCAGUGCUCAACACUGGAACUGCCUUUAAGACUGCAUCGCUUGAAUCCAGGAGAGGUGAGUGGAAUUCCGAGUGUAGAGGUGAAAUUCGUAGAUAUUCGGAAGAACACCAAUGGCGAAGGCAGCUCGCUGGGACGGUACUGACGCUGAGGCGCGAAAGCGUGGGGAGCAAACAGG
rnacentral:rRNA from 1 species